rnacentral:misc_RNA from 1 species
CAGUCGUAACAAGGUUUCCGUAGGUGAACCUGCGGAAGGGAUCAUUACAACGGUUCUUAGUGACAUCUCGCAAAUGAGAUUCCCUCCCAAGUAUCCCACCCGUGUCUAUAUACUCUUGGUUGCUUUGGCGGGCGUGGCCUCCACUGCGGGCUCUGCUCGUACGUACCCGCCAGAGGACCAAACUCUGAAUGUUAGUGAUGUCUGAGUACUUUAAUAGUUAAAAC